rnacentral:rRNA from 1 species
UUGUGCCUACGGGGGGCAGCAGUGGAGAAUAUUGCACAAUGGGGGGAACCCUGAUGCAGCAACGCCGCGUGAAGGAAGAAGUAAUUCGUUAUGUAAACUUCUAUCGACAGGGAAGAAAGAAAUGACGGUACCUGAAUAAGAAGCCCCGGCUAAUUACGUGCCAGCAGCCGCGGUAAUACGUAAGGGGCAAGCGUUAUCCGGAUUUACUGGGUGUAAAGGGUGAGUAGGCGGCGAUGCAAGUCAUAUGUGAAAUUCCGGGGCUUAACUCCGGAGCUGCAUAAGAAACUGCGUUGCUUGAGUGCAGG